rnacentral:rRNA from 1 species
GACGAACGCUGGCGGCGCGCUUAACACAUGCAAGUCGAACGGAAAGGCCUGCUUUCCCUUGUGGAUUGCGGGUACUCGAGUGGCGAACGGGUGAGUAACACGUGAGUGAUCUGUCCCCAACUUGGGUAUAAGCCUGGGAAACUGGGUCUAAUUCCCGAUAGGACUGCAGGGUGGUGCCUGUGGUGGAAAACGAUUUUCUAGUGGUUGGGGAUGAGCUCGCGGCCUAUCAGCUUGUUGGUGGGGUAAUGGCCUACCAAGGCGGCGACGGGUAGCCGGCCUGAGAGGGUGGACGGCCACAUUGGGACUGAGAUACGGCCCAGACUCCUACGGGAGGCAGCAGUGGGGAAUAUUGCACAAUGGGCGGAAGCCUGAUGCAGCGACGCCGCGUGGGGGAUGACGGCCUUCGGGUUGUAAACUCCUUUCGACCGCGAGGAAGCCACCUGGUUGGAAGGGUGGUGACGGUAGUGGUAGAAGAAGCACCGGCUAACUACGUG